UUAGCCAGCCCUUUAUGGGGUGAAGAACCAAAUUUGGUCACUUGAGUGGGUGGCUUAACAUUAACCUCGCAUGCCUCGUUUAUGACGACAUUUUCGUGUUUGUUUGAGACAAACGAGAAGCUGCGAAAUGGACUGGAAGCAGCUGAUCUGGUCUCUGACAGGUUCGCGAAUGUGAAAAGGACACAUACGGGGGGUGGGGGGGGGGAGUGGAAAUGAGGCAUCGGUGUAAAGAGGAGCGAGAAACGGGUCAAGAAGCAGCCAAUGGAUCAAAGAUUCCAGCUUCUAUUUGGGGGCUCUGCUCAAGCUGGAGCGUAAAAUCAAACGCCAGUGAGCCAGAUUCCGACUGACACCUCCUCUAUAACUUAUGUUCUUUUUUUUUUUAAAGCAUAUGGAGACAUCCUUUAAGCACUAGAAAAGAAUCUGGGUGAAUAUCAGUGAGCAGCAGAGUGUUAUCGUUUGUGAUCCAAGGAUUCAAACCUACUGUCAAGCAGUAAAUAAAAAAAGAAUGUGUGGGCCAUAAGAUGUGCAAAUGAUGCACAAGCUAUGCUAGAAUAUUUUUUCUCUGGGGAUGAACACAAAAGGGAGUCCCUGCUAGCACACUUUCCUCUCCCCCUCCUGGAAUAUACUCCAUCUUUAAAGCUGCGUGGAAGCCUAACAGUCACAAAGUACCUUCUGUUCUGCAAAUGGUGAAAAAAAGAGCCAGACAGACAUGGAUUGGGGGCAGGAUGAAAGAGUUACACAGCAAUCUGUUCCUCAUACAACGAUGCAAAAAAGAAAAAGGCAGAACAGGACGUGAUCGAGUUUACGGUGCUGUUGUUGAAUAAGGAUGGAAGAAUUACUUUAAACAUGGGAUUUAACAAAUGGUAACCUCUGUUGAUGCUAUAUUACUCAAUAAAUUCUGAGCAAUAUAUAUUUU